ACAGACUUUAAAAACAAAUGCUUUGUUUUCAGUUUGCCACAGAAACAUUCCUGGGACUGUGACUACCUUGACCUAUGCAGGGUGACGCAGCUGCCCGGGGACAUGGUG
ensembl:snoRNA small nucleolar RNA SNORA77